rnacentral:rRNA from 1 species
CCUACGGGGGGCAGCAGUGGGGGAUAUUGGACAAUGGGGGGAACCCUGAUCCAGCGACGCCGCGUGAGUGAAGAAGUAUCUCGGUAUGUAAAGCUCUAUCAGCAGGGAAGAAGAAAUGACGGUACAUGAGUAAGAAGACCCGGCUACCUACGUGCCAGCAGCCGCGGUAAUACGUAGGGGGCAAGCGUUAUCCGGAAUUACUGGGUGGAACGGGAGCGUAGACGGUGAUGUAAGUCUGGAGUGAAAGGCGGGGGCGCAACCCCGGGACGGCAUUUGGAACUGUGCUGCGAGAGUGUCGGAGAGGCAGGCGGCAUUCCUAGUGUAGCGGUGAAAUGCGUAGAUAUUAGGAGGACCACCAGUGGCGAAGGCGGCCUGCUGGACGAUGACUGACGUUGAGGCUCGAAAGCGUGGGGAGCAAACAGGAUUAGAUACCCGUGUAGUC